GAGUUUGAUCCUGGCUCAGAACGAACGCUUGCGGCGUGCCUAACACAUGCAAGUCGAACGAGAAAAUCUUGCUUGCAAGAUGAGUAAAGUGGCGCACGGGUGAGUAACGCGUGGGUAAUCUACCUUUGGGACAGGGAUAACACUCCGAAAGGGGUGCUAAUACCUGAUACGAUGCGAACUUCACAAGGAGUUUGCAUGAAAGGUGACCUCUUCCUUGAAAGUUGCCGCUCGAAGAUGAGCCCGCGUCCCAUUAGCUUGUUGGUGGGGUAAUGGCCUACCAAGGCGAAGAUGGGUAGCUGGUCUGAGAGGAUGAUCAGCCACACUGGAACUGAGACACGGUCCAGACUCCUACGGGAGGCAGCAGUGGGGAAUAUUGCGCAAUGGGGGAAACCCUGACGCAGCAACGCCGCGUGAGUGAUGAAGGCCUUCGGGUCGUAAAGCUCUGUCAGAUGGGAAGAACAAGGAAAUCCCUAAUAUGGGUUUCCGUUGACGGUACCAUCAGAGGAAGCACCGGCUAACUCCGUGCCAGCAGCCGCGGUAAUACGGAGGGUGCAAGCGUUGUUCGGAAUUACUGGGCGUAAAGCGCGUGCAGGCGGCCCAUUAAGUCAGAUGUGAAAGCCCUUGGCUCAACCAAGGAACUGCAUUUGAAACUAGUAGGCUUGAGUACGGGAGAGGAGAGUGGAAUUCCCGGUGUAGAGGUGAAAUUCGUAGAUAUCGGGAAGAACACCGGUGGCGAAGGCGGCUCUCUGGACCGAUACUGGCGCUGAGACGCGA
rnacentral:rRNA from 1 species